CUCUGGUUUUCCCUAUGAGAAGUUGCAGCUGGUUGGGAACUGGGGUUCGUUUCAUUUCCAUUACUGGAAGAUCCAUUAUGGACGAGUGCAGCAAAAUGAAGAGGACUUGCAUCACCUGUGCAUUGUGAGGGGAGUGGAGAAACAGCUGUGGUGGAGCAGAGUCAUUCAGGAAAAAAUCCUGGACCCAUGGGGUCUUGUCCAGGUGGUCCUCACCAACAAGGAGCUGACUGGUAUUAAGGUACAGUCAAACACUUUUUC